rnacentral:lncRNA from 1 species
GUUUAGUGGGCAAAUACUGGUGGUAGGUGGAUGGUUGGACUGGAUGAUCUUAGAGGUCUUUUCCAACCUUAAUGAUUCUAUGAGUCUAUAAUGCUGUGAUUCUAUUGCUCAGAGGGAAUAGAACUUUAGGGACUGAGAUAGAUAAUCUGCAAUCUCCCAUAUUUGUAGAGUGUUCUUUUUCUUUCUUUUUUUUCUUUAUUUUGUUACGAUAGGAAAAUACAUAACUAUUCCCUACCAGUGCUACCUGUGUAAAAUCACAAGUAUAUAACAAGGUCAUUUGUUGUGCAGUAUGUUUGAUCCCAUGAGCUCCCUUUGCUACAGCACUUGAAUACCUCCUGGGACUUGAAGCUUUAAGAGGAUUUGUUUCAGCUAUUCUCCUCAAGUCUGGCUGUUUCCAUCAUAUAUUCCAUUUGCCUUUUAUCCAGUAUUUCCCUUACAUUCUAGCAUGGUCAAGAUUUUGACCUUACUAUUGUGGAGCUUAAGGUAUUGAACACUCUUUUUUUUCCCCAAAUGCUCAGGUCACCUUGUGGGAGGAAAAUAAACUAAAAAAAUAAAUUUCCUUCUAAGCAAGCAUCAGUGUCUAAUUUAUCUCUAAACUGUAGAUUUGGCACCUGCAGUUUUAAGGCUCUGAUAUCUUUUUUUUUUUUUUUUUGGUAAACCGCUGCUGUUUGCUUUAACAGUGCAGGCUUUGUAUAUUGAAAAUGAUGAAAGAUUGUUAGCAAACAGCCCAGCUGAGAAUAUUCCAUGAACUAAAAUUUACCAUAAUUAGCAGCAGCUUCAAAAAUUUGCGCAACUGAUCAUAUCAGCCACCUGGAAGAAGGUAUGUCAUUGUGUGUUUAUAGAGGUAUGAAAAAUGACCUGGCUCAGAAAACCUUAAUGAAGCUAACUCAGGUUCACUGAUGCAAUGAAACUCGGCUUUCUUUCUGAAGAACUGCAGCUGCACUUCAAGUGUGACAGUUCUGUCCAGCUAUGGACAGGUCCAGAAAAAGGAUGCUCCAAAUUCAAAGGGUGCCACAUUUGGUGGAUGAGAGGUAAAGUCAUG